UCUUAAAUUAAGCCGCUAACUUAAUUAAUAGUGUGUAAUCAUUAAAGGUUCUAUUACU
rnacentral:tRNA from 1 species